UGUGGGGGAGCUUUGCUACAGGAGGGACUGGUGCACUUCACAAAAUAGAUGGCAUCAUGAGGUGCAGGGUAGAGUACCCGGUGGUAGCCGGCUAGUAACGGUUUCUAAGGUUCAGGGCUGGGCGGAGGCCGGCUAGUAACGGUUUCUAAGGUUCAGGGCUGGGCGGAGGCCGGCUAGUAACGGUUUCUAAGGUUCAGGGCUGGGCGGAGGCCGGCUAGUAACGGUUUCUAAGGUUCAGGGCUGGGCGGAGGCCGGCUAGUAACGGUUUCUAAGGUUCAGGGCUGGGCGGAGGCCGGCUAGUAACGGUUUC
ensembl:lncRNA